rnacentral:misc_RNA from 1 species
CGCACCUUGCGCUCUCUGGUAUUCCGGAGAGCAUGUCUGUUUGAGUGUCAUGAACUCUUCAACCCACCGGUUCCUUGUUGGAUCGAGUUGGUGUUUGGAUCUUGAACGUUGCUGGCUUACUCUUAAUUUCGGUUAAGGGAAAAAAAGCGUAGCUCGUUCGUAAUACAUUAGCAUCUCAAUUUCUGAACUUCGGAUUGACUCAGCGUUAUAGACUAUUCGCUGAGGACACAAGUAACAUUGUGGCCGAGUUGAAAGAUAACUAGAAGCUUCUAAUCCCUUACUAGUCAAAACUAUAAGAUUAGACCUCAGAUCAGGCAGGAUUACCCGCUGAACUUAA